UCUCAUUUCCGCUGACUGUGGUUCUAAGC
rnacentral:piRNA from 1 species